UUCYGGUUGAUCCYGCCRGAGGCCACUGCUAUCGGGCUCCGACUAAGCCAUGCGAGUCUAGGGGCUCUUCGGAGCACCGGCGGACUGCUCAGUAACACGUGGACAACCUACCCUCGGGUGGGGGAUAACCUCGGGAAACUGAGGCUAAUACCCCAUAGACCUCGGAUACUGGAAUGUUCCGAGGCUGAAAGCCCCGGCGCCCGAGGAUGGGUCUGCGACCUAUCAGGUAGUUGGUGGUGUAAAGGACCACCAAGCCUACGACGGGUACGGGCCCUGAGAGGGGAAGCCCGGAGAUGGACUCUGAGACACGAGUCCAGGCCCUACGGGGCGCAGCAGGCGCGAAACCUUCGCAAUGUGCGAAAGCGCGACGAGGGGAGCCCGAGUGCCCUUCCUUCGGGGAGGGCUUUUCUGGAGCCUAAAAAGCUCCAGGAAUAAGGGCUGGGCAAGACGGGUGCCAGCCGCCGCGGUAAUACCCGCAGCUCAAGUGGUGGCCGCUUUUAUUGAGCCUAAAGCGUCCGUAGCCGGACCCGUAAAUCCCUGGGUAAAUCCUGGCGCUCAACGUCAGGAAUUCCGGGGAGACUGCGGGUCUUGGGACCGGGAGAGGCUGGAGGUACUCCCGGGGUAGCGGUGAAAUGCUGUAAUCCUGGGGGGACCACCUGUGGCGAAAGCGUCCAGCUUGAACGGCUCCGACGGUGAGGGACGAAGGCCAGGGGAGCGAACCGGAUUAGAUACCCGGGUAGUCCUGGCUGUAAACGCUGCCCGCUUGGUGUUGCCGGUCUUUCGGGGGCCGGCAGUGCCGGAGCGAAGGUGUUAAGCGGGCCGCUUGGGAAGUACGGCCGCAAGGCUGAAACUUAAAGGAAUUGGCGGGAGAGCACUGCAACGGGAGGAGCGUGCGGUUUAAUUGGANUCAACGCCGGY
rnacentral:rRNA from 1 species